ACGCUCGACACCUACGGGAGGAGCAGUAGGGAAUCUUCCACAAUGGACGCAAGUCUGAUGGAGCAACGCCGCGUGAGUGAAGAAGGUCUUCGGAUCGUAAAACUCUGUUGUUAGAGAAGAACACGAGUGAGAGUAACUGUUCAUUCGAUGACGGUAUCUAACCAGCAAGUCACGGCUAACUACGUGCCUGCAGCCGCGGUAAUCUGAGCGGGCUGGCAAGGC
rnacentral:rRNA from 1 species